rnacentral:rRNA from 1 species
GAUGAACGCUGGCGGCGUGCCUAAUACAUGCAAGUCGAGCGAACGGACGAGAAGCUUGCUUCUCUGAUGUUAGCGGCGGACGGGUGAGUAACACGUGGAUAACCUACCUAUAAGACUGGGAUAACUUCGGGAAACCGUAGCUAAUACCGGAUAAUAUUUUGAACCGCAUGGUUCAAAAGUGAAAGACGGUCUUGCUGUCACUUAUAGAUGGAUCCGCGCUGCAUUAGCUAGUUGGUAAGGUAACGGCUUACCAAGGCAACGAUGCAUAGCCGACCUGAGAGGGUGAUCGGCCGCACUGGAACUAGGACAAGGUCCAGAAUCGUACGAGAGGCAGCAGUAGGAGAUCUUCCGCAAUAGGCGAAAGCCUGACGGAGCAACGCCGCGUGAGUGAUGAAGGUCUUCGAAUCGUAAAACUCUGUUAUUAGGGAAGAACAUAUGUGUAAGUAACUGUGCACAUCUUGACGGUACCUAAUCAGAAAGCCACGGCUAACUACGUG